UCCCUCGUAGCUCAGUCGCCCAGACCAGCGGAUAUCUAAUCCGCCGGUCGGGGGUUCGCGUCCCUCCGGGGGGGCCU
rnacentral:tRNA from 1 species